rnacentral:rRNA from 1 species
AGCUUGCUCUUGAUGACGAGUGGCGCACGGGUGAGUAACGCGUAUGCAAUCUACCUAUAACUGAGGAAUAGCCCAGAGAAAUUUGGAUUAAUACCUCAUAAUAUUAUUAUUUGGCACCAUUUAAUAAUUAAAACUCCGGUGGUUAUAGAUGAGCAUGCGUUCUAUUAGCUAGUUGGUGAGGUAAGAGCUCACCAAGGCUACGAUAGAUAGGGGGCCUGAAAGGGUGAUCCCCCACACUGGUACUGAGACACGGACCAGACUCCUACGGGAGGCAGCAGUGAGGAAUAUUGCACAAUGGAGGAAACUCUGAUGCAGCCAUGCCGCGUGCAGGAUGAAGGCCCUAUGGGUUGUAAACUGCUUUUUUACAAGAAGAAACCUUGGUACGUGUACCAACUUGACGGUAUUGUAAGAAUAAGCACCGGCUAACUCCGUGCCAGCAGCCGCGGUAAUACGGAGGGUGCAAGCGUUAUCCGGAUUUAUUAGGUUUAAAGGGUUCGCAGGCGGAAUUUUAAGUCAGUG